CAUGCAAGUCGAACGCUUCUUUUUCCACCGGAGCUUGCUCCACCGGAAAAAGAGGAGUGGCGAACGGGUGAGUAACACGUGGGUAACCUGCCCAUCAGAAGGGGAUAACACUUGGAAACAGGUGCUAAUACCGUAUAACAAUCAAAACCGCAUGGUUUUGAUUUGAAAGGCGCUUUCGGGUGUCGCUGAUGGAUGGACCCGCGGUGCAUUAGCUAGUUGGUGAGGUAACGGCUCACCAAGGCCACGAUGCAUAGCCGACCUGAGAGGGUGAUCGGCCACAUUGGGACUGAGACACGGCCCAAACUCCUACGGGAGGCAGCAGUAGGGAAUCUUCGGCAAUGGACGAAAGUCUGACCGAGCAACGCCGCGUGAGUGAAGAAGGUUUUCGGAUCGUAAAACUCUGUUGUUAGAGAAGAACAAGGAUGAGAGUAACUGUUCAUCCCUUGACGGUAUCUAACCAGAAAGCCACGGCUAACUACGUGCCAGCAGCCGCGGUAAUACGUAGGUGGCAAGCGUUGUCCGGAUUUAUUGGGCGUAAAGCGAGCGCAGGCGGUUUCUUAAGUCUGAUGUGAAAGCCCCCGGCUCAACCGGGGAGGGUCAUUGGAAACUGGGAGACUUGAGUGCAGAAGAGGAGAGUGGAAUUCCAUGUGUAGCGGUGAAAUGCGUAGAUAUAUGGAGGAACACCAGUGGCGAAGGCGGCUCUCUGGUCUGUAACUGACGCUGAGGCUCGAAAGCGUGGGGAGCAAACAGGAUUAGAUACCCUGGUAGUCCACGCCGUAAACGAUGAGUGCUAAGUGUUGGAGGGUUUCCGCCCUUCAGUGCUGCAGCUAACGCAUUAAGCACUCCGCCUGGGGAGUACGACCGCAAGGUUGAACUCAG
rnacentral:rRNA from 1 species